UACGGAGGAUGCAAGCGUUAUCCGGAAUUAUUGGGCGUAAAGCGUCCGCAGGUGGUUGGGUAAGUCCGCUGUUAAAGCCAAUAGCUUAACUAUUGAUCAGCAGUGGAAACUACCAGACUGGAGAGCAGUAGGGGUCACGGGAAUUCCCAGUGUAGCGGUGAAAUGCGUAGAUAUUGGGAAGAACACCAACGGCGAAGGCACGUGACUGGGCUGUAUCUGACACUCAUGGACGAAAGCCAGGGGAGCGAAA
rnacentral:rRNA from 1 species